AAUGAACGUUGGCGGCGUGGAUUAGGCAUGCAAGUCGAGCGGAAAGGCCCGCAAGGGCACUCGGGCGGCGUAAGGGACAGUAAUGUGUAGGUACGUACCCCUGGGUCUAGGAUAGCUGCGGGAAACUGCAAUUAAUACUAGAUGAUGUCUCCGGACCAAAGGUGUGAUUCCACCCAGGGAGCGGCCUACAUCCUAUUAGCUAGUUGGUGAGGUGACGGCUCACCAAGGCGAAGAUGGGUAGCAGGUGUGAGAGCACGACCUGCGUCACUGGGACUGAGACACUGCCCAGACACCUACGGGUGGCUGCAGUCGAGAAUCUUCGGCAAUGGGCGAAAGCCUGACCGAGCGACGCCGCGUGCGGGAUGAAGGCC
rnacentral:rRNA from 1 species